UACGUAGGGGGCUAGCGUUAUCCGGAAUUACUGGGCGUAAAGGGUGCGUAGGUGGUUUCUUAAGUCAGAGGUGAAAGGCUACGGCUCAACCGUAGUAAGCCUUUGAAACUGAGAAACUUGAGUGCAGGAGAGGAGAGUGGAAUUCCUAGUGUAGCGGUGAAAUGCGUAGAUAUUAGGAGGAACACCAGUUGCGAAGGCGGCUCUCUGGACUGUAACUGACACUGAGGCACGAAAGCGUGGGGAGCAAACAGG
rnacentral:rRNA from 1 species